rnacentral:rRNA from 1 species
AUGCUCGGUGUUAAAAUUGGAGAAAAAGCAGGACUAGCAGAAUUCAAUGAGGAAGGAGCAUUGGACCAGUUUGCAUCCCUUGUAACAGGGAACGAACUUUUAAAGAAAAACCUAAUUAUGAUAUCUCACAACACAGCUAAACACUACACAUUGUACGUGAUCAACAAGUACACGAAAUCCAUCGACAUUCUUGACUCAUUGAAUUACAAACACGGAGACGGAAAAAGUACAUGGAAAACACACCAUAAGGAUCACGAAGAACUGGGUAGCCAAUGCGGACACUUCAUGGUUCAAUUUGCAAAAUACUGGAAUGGCAUUGAUCUCAUAAAAGAUGAUGAGGAUUUCAAUCAAAGCAACGUAGAUGCCGAGUGGAAACCAGAGUUCCUUUUUACAGCCAUAUUUGGUGAAACAAACCUAGUAAACUAG